rnacentral:lncRNA from 1 species
CAAGAUUCUAAGAUGAAGUGCUGACAUGUGAAGGGAUAACAGGAUGGUCUGCCAGCUUGAUCAUGUACCCCAGCUGGUAUAAGAAAAAAUGGUUGGAGAGUAGAGGUUUCUUUGUGUGAGCUUUGUGUGAUAUUCCCUGCUCCCUCCUCACAGGAACAGAGGAGGCUUUACUUUUACCUCAAGCCAAUGAGCGAAGACUGAGGAGAUUUUGAUAUUUGAUAUCUGUGUCCCGGAGAUUGAGGGAGAUAGACAAUGGCAUUUGACUUAAGUCUGAGAAAUCCAAAGUGAAGAGGUAAAAAGAGAAUCCACUGGGGUAGUAGGCCCUUCCGCUCAAAUUGGGUCAUGUGGACAAAAUGACACUCCUUUCAAAGAACGGCCUCCUUCUCAUUCUCUGAAGAAAAAGGUUUGAGGGUGAAGGGAUCCUUUCCAUUUGACCUAUGUGAGAAUGUACAAUUUGCAAAGUAGGGAUUAUGUGCUAGAACUCCACAAGGUAUAGGGAAAAAUUGCAAGAGUUUUUGAGAUAGGUCAACCUAGUUUUGAAUCUGUUAUUGUUGUAAGAACAUACUAUUUCUGAAACUCAAUAUCCUUAUCUGUAGGUCGGGAAAUUACUCUCUAAGACUACUGUGAAGGAUAAAUGAAAUAAGAUGAAAAUGAGGCAGAUACAUAAAAUAACUGUGUGACCUUAAGUAAACUGCAAAUGUCUUGGGUCUCUGUCUCUCAGUUUGCCCAUCCCACUGUGUUGUCAAUGACACUUCCUGUCAAUGUUUGAAGUACAUAACAGGAAUUUUUUUAGGCAAGGCACAAAGUAUUGUUUUUUUAUAAAUGCUCAGUAAAUGUCAAGCCUGUAUUUUUUUGUGUCCAAAAUUAAAACUUUCGUUUUUGUUACAUAAGAAAGGUCCUUUUGGUGAGGGUAGGAAGGAUAUUUAAAUGGAAAGCUAUAUAUAUUAGGCCUGAAAAUUGUUAAUGACGUUAUUUAAAAUGACUAGAAAGGUACUUAAGGAAGGUAGCAGUUGUAGGCUUUCUUUUCUUAGGAAAUCAAUACUCAUAAAACUCAAGGAUGGAAUUGAGAAUUAAAAACCACAGUGAGUUUA